rnacentral:rRNA from 1 species
GGCGAACGGGUGAGUAACACGUGGGCAAUCUGCCCUUCACUUCGGGACAAGCCCUGGAAACGGGGUCUAAUACCGGAUAUCACUUCCACGGGCAUCUGUGGGGGUUGAAAGCUCCGGCGGUGAAGGAUGAGCCCGCGGCCUAUCAGCUUGUUGGUGAGGUAGUGGCUCACCAAGGCGACGACGGGUAGCCGGCCUGAGAGGGCGACCGGCCACACUGGGACUGAGACACGGCCCAGACUCCUACGGGAGGCAGCAGUGGGGAAUAUUGCACAAUGGGCGAAAGCCUGAUGCAGCGACGCCGCGUGAGGGAUGACGGCCUUCGGGUUGUAAACCUCUUUCAGCAGGGAAGAAGCGAAAGUGACGGUACCUGCAGAAGAAGC